UACGUAGGGUCCGAGCGUUGUCCGGAAUUAUUGGGCGUAAAGGGCUCGUAGGCGGUUCGUCACGUCGGGAGUGAAAACUCGGGGCUUAACCCCGAGCCUGCUUCCGAUACGGGCAGACUAGAGGUAGGCAGGGGAGAGCGGAACUCCUGGUGUAGCGGUGGAAUGCGCAGAUAUCAGGAAGAACACCGGUGGCGAAGGCGGCUCUCUGGGCCUUACCUGACGCUGAGGAGCGAAAGCUAGGGGAGCGAACGGG
rnacentral:rRNA from 1 species